GACGAACCGUGCGAACGUUGUUCGGAAUCACUGGGCUUAAAGGGCGCGUAGGCGGGCUGCCAAGUCCGUGGUGAAAUCCCCCGGCUCAACCGGGGAACGGCCUCGGAUACUGGCGGCCUGGAGGCGGGUAGGGGCAAGCGGAACUGUGGGUGGAGCGGUGAAAUGCGUUGAGAUCCACAGGAACUCCGGUGGCGAAGGCGGCUCACUGGCCCGGUACUGACGCUGAGGUGCGAAAGCGUGGGGAGCAAACAGG
rnacentral:rRNA from 1 species